GAUGAACGCUGGCGGCGUGCCUAAUACAUGCAAGUCGAACGAAACUUCUUUAUCACCGAGUGCUUGCACUCACCGAUAAAGAGUUGAGUGGCGAACGGGUGAGUAACACGUGGGCAACCUGCCCAAAAGAGGGGGAUAACACUUGGAAACAGGUGCUAAUACCGCAUAACCAUAGUUACCGCAUGGUAACUAUGUAAAAGGUGGCUAUACUACCGCUUUUGGAUGGGCCCGCGGCGCAUUAGCUAGUUGGUAGGGUAAAGGCUUACCAAGGCAAUGAUGCGUAGCCGAAUUGAGAGGUUGAUCGGCCACAUUGGGACUGAGACACGGCCCAAACUCCUACGGGAUGCAGCAGUAGGGAAUCUUCCACAAUGGGCGAAAGCCUGAUGGAGCAACGCCGCGUGGGUGAAGAAGGUCUUCGGAUCGUAAAACCCUGUUGUUAGAGAAGAAAGUGCGUGAGAGUAACUGUUCACGUUUCGACGGUAUCUAACCAGAAAGCCACUGCUAACUACGUG
rnacentral:rRNA from 1 species